rnacentral:lncRNA from 1 species
CAAAACAGAGGUUAGAUAACAUAACCAUGCAUAGUGACUAAUAUAAGGUAUAUCAGACACCUAAAUAAAUAAAGCAAAUGAAUACAAUUCAUUUCAUACACUUAUUCAGCAUGAUAAACAUAUAUAAAUAUGUAACCGACAACUCAGACAUAUAACAAAUAUGUUCAGACAAGUAUCAGAUAUAAAGGUAAACAUAACAAUGUCAAUUACCAAUUAUAUAUAAAGUAAGAAUGUCACAUAAUUCUUAAUGCAAUUCUAAUGUCAAAAUAGAUGUAAUGUCCCCUAGACAUAUCUAUAUGCACGUGGUACCCAUCAUCAUAUUUUUGGAAAACUUAUUCCAAGUGUUUAGAUCAUCGUCUCUAAACACACGUAAUCUAGAUCAUCGUCUCUAGACUACACACCAUCAAGACACAACAAAUGGAUGCAUGAANNNNNNNCCAAACAUUCUAAAUCACCACAUUUAGAAUACAACAUCAUUAAUAAUUUGCUAUUAAGCAACAACUUCAUCCCACACCUGUAAAUACAUUCACAUCAUAAAUAUAUUCACAUAAAGUAUAUAACAUCAUAUACUAACAUCAUCAUUUAAUUCCUAACUCGUUUUAUUUCACAAAACUCAUUUAUUUUCAAAAUAAUGCUACUAACAUAAGCACACACUAAUAAGUGUACAUCUUUUCGGAAAACUAUUCCCGGAAUCGGAAUCUACGCGAAAAACUGAGCAAAAUAGGUUCUGACCAAAAAAGUAGACAAAAAGUCAACGGUCAGAGUCAACAGGUAGCGUCGGCCAUAGCGUCAGCCAGAAUGCGUCGCAAAACACUAUUCAUGCUGCAGAAUUCUGCAUAAACGUGUUUUUGGCUCGGAUUUGGCUCCAAAAGCACUUAUAAGCCUCGAAAAUCACUUAUUUAAGCCUAGAAAU